rnacentral:rRNA from 1 species
UACGGAGGGGACUAGCGUUGUUCGGAAUUACUGGGCGUAAAGAGCUCGUAGGUGGUUUGUCGCGUUGUCCGUGAAAACUCACAGCUCAACUGUGGGCGUGCGGGCGAUACGGGCAGACUGGAGUACUGCAGGGGAGACUGGAAUUCCUGGUGUAGCGGUGGAAUGCGCAGAUAUCAGGAGGAACACCGGUGGCGAAGGCGGUUCUCUGGGCAUUACCUGACGCUGAGGAGCGAAAGUGUGGGGAGCGAACAGG